GUAGCAAUACCUGUUGGCGACCGGCAAACGGGUGAGGAACAUGUACGCAACCCUCCUUUAACUGGAGAAUAGCCCCUCGAAAGAGGGAUUAAUACUCCGUAACAUAUUGAUAAGGCAUCUUAUUAAUAUUAUAGCUCCGGCGGUUAAAGAUGGGCGUGCACCUGAUUAGAUAGUUGGCGGGGUAAUGGCCCACCAAGUCUGCGAUCAGUAACUGGUGUGAGAGCACGACCAGUCACACGGGCACUGAGACACGGGUCCGACUCCUACGGGAGGCAGCAGUAAGGAAUAUUGGUCAAUGGACGCAAGUCUGAACCAGCCAUGCCGCGUGGAGGAUUAAGGCCCUCUGGGUUGUAAACUCCUUUUAUCUGGGAAGAAAUGUACUUUUUCUUGAGUACUUGACGGUACCAGAGGAAUAAGCACCGGCUAACUCCGUGCCAGCAGCCGCGGUAAUACGGAGGGUGCAAGCGUUAUCCGGAUUCACUGGGUUUAAAGGGUGCGUAGGUGGGCAGGUAAGUCAGUGGUGAAAUCUCCGAGCUUAACUCGGAAACUGCCGUUGAUACUAUUUGUCUUGAAUAUUGUGGAGGUAAGCGGAAUAUGUCAUGUAGCGGUGAAAUGCUUAGAUAUGACAUAGAACACCAAUUGCGAAGGCAGCUUACUACACAAUUAUUGACGCUG
rnacentral:rRNA from 1 species